CAAAUACCGGUACUUGUUAGAUCACCGAAGUCAAGCAUCAUUGGGCGCGGUCAGUACUUGGGUGGGUGACCACCUGGGAACACCGC